AAAAUAGAAAGCUCCUCCAAUCAUCUCUCCUGCAAGGACACUAAGUUAACAACUAUCCAUAUGGAAAAAACACCUUCACGAGAACCAAAAAUCAGGAUAUUCUAUCACUCUAACUGAUGGAAGUUCUUCAAGGAAGCUUUUCUCACAACUUACCUUUUUCUUCUAGCAAAGGGACCAUUUGGUCAUAACAAAGACAUUCCUGGGGAAGGAGUGAGAAGCAGAGCACAAUCGUCAAGUCUCUUUCUUUCAACCUGCUGAUAAACCACACUGCUGUUCCAACUCCUGCAAAUCCAGCUUUGCCAAGAACUUUGUGUGCUUUCCACAGCAGGUGGUCUUUCUUAAGUCAUUUUCCAGAGGAGAAGCCAGCUGCCCUCUCUUGACAUAGCCAUGUGAAGAUGCUCAAGUACUGAAGAUCCUAAGCCUGCCAAC
rnacentral:lncRNA from 1 species